UACGUAGGGAGCAAGCGUUGUUCGGAUUUACUGGGCGUAAAGGGCGCGUAGGCGGCGCGGUAAGUCACUUGUGAAAUCUCUGAGCUUAACUCAGAACGGCCAAGUGAUACUGCAGUGCUAGAGUGCAGAAGGGGCAAUCGGAAUUCUUGGUGUAGCGGUGAAAUGCGUAGAUAUCAAGAGGAACACCAGCGGCGAAGGCGGCGCUCUGGGCCGGUACUGACACUGAGGAGCGAAAGCGUGGGUAGCAAACAGG
rnacentral:rRNA from 1 species